AAUUCCCUGAAAGGAGGUGAGCAGGGGGUUGGCCUCUGCUCCUGAGGAACAGCGAUAGGGGGAGGGGUGAUGGCCUCAAGUAGUGCUGGGGAGGCUCAGGUUGGGUAUCGGCACAGCUGCCCAGGAGUGGUGGGGUAAACAUCCCUGGAGGUGCUCCAGAGCCAUGGAGAUGUGGCACUGAAGGAUGUGGGCAGUGGGCAUGAUGGGGUGGGCUGGGGUUGAGCUUGGGGAUCUUGGAGGCCUUAACAGCUUUAAUCGUUCUGUGAUUCUAAUUGUCUCUCUGACCCAAAGGAAGUGGUUAUUUACCAGCUCCUCUCAGCCUGCUGUUCCCUCUUGAAGGAGGGAAGAUUGAGGUUGGAUGUCAGGGGAAGUUCUUUACUGUGAGAGUGGUGAGGUGCUGGAACAGCUGCCCAGAGAGGCUGUGGAUGCCCCGUCCAUCCCUGGAGGUGUUCAAGGCCAGGUUGGAUGGGGCCCUGGGCAGCCUGGGCUGGGAUUACAUGUGGAGGUUGGUGGCCCUGCCUGUGGUGGGGGGUUGGAGCUUCGUGAUCCUUGAGGUCCCUUCCAGCCCGGGCCAUUCUGGGAUUCUAUGGGGGAAAAAAAAAAAAAAAAAAAAAAAAAAAAAAAAAGAAAGAAAGAAGAGAGUUGAUACAAUUCCUGAAUAAUAAACUCCUGAAGUUUAAAUUGCUGUUGAUUUGCAUUCCAUGUAGAGGCUGUUAAACAAAUUGGCACUCAGCUCAGAAUCAAGUCCUGAAGUCUUUACUCAGCUCUUACCCAGUCCUUGGGCAAGAGGAGAGUAUCAUGGGUGCAGAUAUUAUGG
rnacentral:lncRNA from 1 species